rnacentral:rRNA from 1 species
UACGUAGGGUGCGAGCGUUGUCCGGAAUUAUUGGGCGUAAAGAGCUCGUAGGCGGUCUGUCGCGUCUGCUGUGAAAACUCAGGGCUUAACCCUGAGCUUGCAGUGGGUACGGGCAGACUAGAGUGCGGUAGGGGAGACUGGAAUUCCUGGUGUAGCGGUGAAAUGCGCAGAUAUCAGGAGGGAACACCCGGUGGCGAAAGGCGGGGUCUCUGGGCCGUAACUGACGCUGAGGAGCGAAAGCAUGGGGGAGCAAACAGG